GUUAACCAUCUAGGGGAGCCGUAGGGAAACCGAGUCUUAACUGGGCGUUCAGUCUCUGGAUAUAGACCCGAAACCAGGUGAUCUAGCCAUGGGCAGGUUGAAGGUUGAGUAACAUCAACUGGAGGACCGAACCGACUAAUGUUGAAAAAUUAGCGGAUGACUUGUGGCUAGGGGUGAAAGGCCAAUCAAACCUGGAGAUAGCUGGUUCUCCCCGAAAGCUAUUUAGGUAGCGCCUCGGACGAAUACUACUGGGGGUAGAGCACUGUUAAGGCUAGGGGGUCAUCCCGACUUACCAACCCUUUGCAAACUCCGAAUACCAGUAAGUACUAUCCGGGAGACACACGGCGGGUGCUAACGUCCGUCGUGGAGAGGGAAACAACCCAGACCGCCAGCUAAGGUCCCAAAUUACUACUAAGUGGGAAACGAUGUGGGAAGGCUCAGACAGCCAGGAUGUUGGCUUAGAAGCAGCCAUCAUUUAAAGAAAGCGUAAUAGCUCACUGGUCGAGUCGGCCUGCGCGGAAGAUGUAACGGGGCUAAGUAGUAAACCGAAGCUGCGGCAAUAUACUUUUGUAUAUUGGGUAGGGGAGCGUUCUGUAAGCGGUUGAAGGUGUGUGGUAACGCAUGCUGGACGUAUCAGAAGUGCGAAUGCUGACAUGAGUAACGAUAAAGGGGGUGAAAAACCUCCUCGCCGGAAGACCAAGGGUUCCUGUCCAACGUUAAUCGGGGCAGGGUAAGUCGACCCCUAAGGCGAGGCCGAAAGGCGUAGUCGAUGGGAAACGGGUUAAUAUUCCCGUACUUCUUACAAUUGCGAUGGGGGGACGGAGAAGGCUAGGUGGGCCUGGCGACGGUUGUCCAGGUUCAAGUGCGUAGGCUU
rnacentral:rRNA from 1 species